rnacentral:rRNA from 1 species
GACGAAGGAUGCAAGCGUUAUCCGGAUUCAUUGGGUUUAAAGGGAGCGUAGGUGGUCUUAUAGUCAGUGGUGAAAUCUCGCAGCUUAACUGCGAAACUGCCAUUGAUACUGUAGGACUUGAGUAUAGUUGCUGUGGGCGGAAUAUGACAUGUAGUGGUGAAAUACUUAGAGAUGUCAUAGAACACCGAUUGCGAAGGCAGCUCACAAAACUAUAACUGACACUGAGGCUCGAAAGUGCGGGGAUCAAACAGG